ACUCCGCCGCGCCCUGCGGGCUUUCUUUUCCAGGCCCCUGCUCCUGGGUCCUGCCUCCGAGGUCAGGCAGGGCCUGUGGUUCCUCCCGACAUGUCACAGAAGCCCCAGGGACUGUUCGGCAGCUCUAGAUGGCCCAGUGGGGAGGGGCUGCCCUGUGGGCAUUGCUGUCUGAUGGCCUGAAGGCACCGCUUGGAGGGACACAUGCCUGGGGACAGUGGGCUCACAGAUGUCUUGCUGCUUUGCCACCGAGCCUCACAGCCAUCUGCUGACCUCUCAGAGCCCAGCAGGCCCCUGCCUGGGGGUUCGUGGAAUGCCCCUGGGGGUCUCAGACCCACUGCUCAGCUCUUGUCCAGGCUCCGUAUCUCUCUAGAUUGGAGGAUUCUGGAGGGAAGUCGGUGUGGCCUCCGAUCAAAGCCUGGUGCUGACGGCCCCGAAGUGGGUGGAGGGCUUGUUCCUCACCUUGAGCGGGAGUAACCUGACCGUGAAGGUUGCAUAUAACAGCUCAGGAAGCUGUGAGAUAGAGAAGAUCGUGGGCUCAGAAAUAGACAGUACGGGAAAAUUCGCUUUUCCUGGUAAGUGCAGUUGCCCUGUGAUGGCAGGUGGAACCCGGCUGUGCACACAGCUAGGCCUUAUUGUUCCCCAUGCUGUUCCCUGCACUGUUCCCUGCACCGUUCUCUGUGCUGUUCCCUGCACUGUUCCCCAUGCUGUUCCCUGCACUGUUCCCCAUGCUGUUCCCUGCACUGUUCCCCAUGCUGUUCCCUGAACUAUUCCCUGUGCUGUUCCCCAUGUUGUUCCCUGCACUGCUCCCUGCACUGUUCCACAUGCUGUUCCCUGCACUUUUCUCUGCGCCAUUCCCCAUGCGUUCCCUGCACUGUUCCCUGCACUGUUCCCCAUGCUGUUCCCUGCACUGUUCCCAAUGCUGUUCCCUGCACUGCUCCCUGCACUGUUCCACAUGCUGUUUCCUGCACUAUUCCCCAUGCUGUUCCCUGCACUUUUCUCUGCGCCGUUCCCCAUGCAUUCCCUGCACUGUUCCCCAUGCUGUUCCCUGCACUGUUCCCCAUGCUGUUCCUGCACCGUUCCCCAUGCUGUUCCCUGCAGGGUUCCCUGCACUGUUCCCCAUGCUGUUCCCUGCACAUUUCAUGCCCCAGACCUUCCCAUUCUCCCACCAACACAGUGGAUCAUCCUUCAAAAGCUUCUGUAGUGUCUCCAACCACUCAAGUGCUGGGACUGGGUGGGGGCAGGAUGGAGUUAGACCCUGCAGACCCUGGCCUUCGAGGUCCGUCCCCCUCAGACGUCUCCCCCAACACCACGGCCGGCUCCUGAAGGCCACAGAGAGAUCCACGUGCUGGACACUGACUACGAGGGCUACGCCAUCCUGCGGGUGUCCCUGAUGUGGCGGGGCAGGAACUUUCGCGUCCUCAAGUACUUUAGUAAGCUUGGCCCUGGGGGGCUCUGCCCAGCUGCUGCCCUCCCAGGGACUGCCCGCCCAGCCCCCCUGUGCCCCACAGCUCGGAGCCUUGAGGACAAGGACCAGCUGGGGUUCUGGAAGUUUCGGGAGGUGACAGCAGACACUGGUCUCUACCUGGCGGCCCGGCCUGGGCGGUGUGCCGAGCUCCUGAAGGAGGUGAGCCUGACCCCCGGCCCUGGCCUGUGCUGAAGUUCCCGGGCCCCUGGCCCAGUCCCUGGCCCUGUCAGGAGCCCCCAUGGCUCCGCCUCCCGGCCCUGGGCUGGGGCCAGUUCACCCCUUCCUGUGAACAGGACACCAAACACCCCUGGUGGGCAGCUCCAGAGAUGAGUCUGUCUCCUGGUUUGGAAAGAGCUGGAACCUCCAGGGUGGUGACCCUAGGCUGCCAGGCAGGGACCCUGGGAGGCUGGGGUCACGGGGUGCAGAGCUGGGUGGGGCAGGGGAGCAGAAAUGGCGCCUUUUCUUCGGUGUUCCGUGCAGGACUGCCGGCUGCUUGUGCCCCCGAAGGUCCCGUCGGGGGCGGGGCACAGAUCCUGCGGGCGCUGCCUCAGGGCUCCCAGGUUGGGCACUGCGAGAACCCAGUGUCUCCCUCACCUCGCUUUGUCUUGGCCCUAGAGGCUGGGCCUGUUACCCCAUUUUGCAGAUUGAGAAGGCGCUCAGGGAGCCGGGUGCUUUGCGCAAAACCAGGCAGCGAGGACAGAAGACCCUGCCGUGUGGCCCUCAUCGCAGCCCCGUGGGGCCUCCGGAGACCACGCGGGCCUGAGCCCCUGCACUUCUGUGUCGCAGGAGCUGAUUUAAUGGAGUUCUGUGGGGCCUCCGGAGACCACGCGGGCCUGAGCCCCUGCACUUCUGUGUCGCAGGAGCUGAUUUAAUGGAGUUCCUGCCUCAGACCACGAGGUUCGGAGCGCCCGCCCACCCCGGCCCCUCCUGGGCACCCUGCCCACCAGGUCACCUGCACCUGCUCUGAAUAAACUGUGAAGUCAA
rnacentral:sRNA from 1 species